rnacentral:lncRNA from 12 species
GGAGCGUGGGGACUGGGUUGCCACACAGCAUGGGAAGGCUUGGGGGAGGAAACUGCAACUGCAGCUAAGGACACGCACUGCUUUCUGCAGGGUGGCAGGGAGAGCAGGGUAUCGGCACAGGAGAGAGGGGGGGAUGGAGGGAUGGAUGGAUGGAUGGAUGGAUGGAUGGAUGGAUGGAUGGAUGGAUGGAUGCAGGGCUGGAUGCAUGCAUGGAUGCAGGGAUGGAUGGGUGGACGGAUAAUGAGUCAUAUGUGGAGCCCCAGUAAAAGGAUUGAGAAACAGGCAGGCAGGAACUGGAGAAACCAACAGCAGCAGUGCAAAGGCUGGGAUGGUGUGGGGAGCAGAGUGCAAUGCUGGAUGUGUGUGGAGCAGCAAGUCCAUACAUGCUGUGUAACAGAAGGCAGCAGACACAGGGAGCUGUGGAAAGAGAAGUAUGGAGAAAAGGAGUUUACAUCAAGAGUCCUGUAACACCCAUGACAAUGUUGC